CCUACGGGUGGCAGCAGUGGGGAAUAUUGCACAAUGGGGGAAACCCUGAUGCAGCGACGCCGCGUGAGCGAUGAAGUAUUUCGGUAUGUAAAGCCCUGUCAGCGGGGAAGAAGAAAGACGGUACCCGACCAAGAAGCCCCGGCUAACUACGUGCCAGCAGCCGCGGUAAUCCGUAGGGGGCGAGCGUUAUCCGGAAUUACUGGGUGUAAAGGGAGCGUAGACGGCGAGGGAAGCCUGGUGUGGAAGCCCGCGGCCCAACCGCGGAACUGUUUUGGAAACUGGUUUGCUGGAGUCUGGGAGGGGUAAGCGGAAUUCCUGGUGUAGCGGUGAAAUGCGUAGACAUCAGGAGGAACACCGGUGGCGAAGGCGGCUUACUGGACCAUAACUGACGUUGAGGCUCGAAAGCGUGGGGAGCGAACAGGAUUAGAUACCCCUGUAGUC
rnacentral:rRNA from 1 species